ACAAGCCUAAUUCUUCUUGCACAUAAUUUGAGAGAGAAUACAGUCUAUCGUGAUUGUAUGCAUUGAUACAACGAAAUUAAGUGAGUUCAUACAACUUAUCGUGAUUGUACCCAUCAAGAUUAUAUGUGUUAAUAUAGUCAUUAGAGCGGAUGAAUAAAGUGAUACGAGCAUGUAAUAAUUGAACAGUAGCUACGAAUUAGAAUUCUUGUUGAUGUGUAUUCUAUGACUGUUUUAAAGAGCAGAGAAAUACAAUGUAUUCAUAGAAUCUUGUCUUCAUUUAUACAUACAACUUCUAUUCAGAUUUUUGUAAUUUAUGUAUUCAUUUAUUAGAGCACCAAAAAAUAUGUCAAAAAAUACCCUUCUAGAUUCACAAAAUCUUACAGGUAUGUAUUCCGAAUUUUUGUAUAUCUGUCUGUAUCCACAAAAUCUUGCAUUGAUCUUUUAUUAUGUCCGUAUCCAUAAAGUCUUACAUCUUCUAAAAGAGAUAUACAGAACUUUGGUUAUGUUUGUAUUCACAAAAUCUUGUAUUUUUUAUCAUUCAUAAUAAAAGAGCUGUGUUCCUUUUUUUCCUUUCACUCGCGCGAACACUAGUUUUUUUCUGGAUAGAGAUGGCAACAGAGAAAGAGGUGGAAGAUGUUCCUGUGUACACAUUGGAUGAAGCACUCACAACAGUUGGAAUUGGUAAAUUUCAGUAUAUGACCAUGUGUUAUGCAGGUCUUGGUUCUAUUGCUGAAGCAGCGGAGACUAUGAUUCUCUCUUUUGUAGGACCUGCUCUAAGGUCCCAAUGGGCUCUUUCUCCUACUCAAGAAAGUCUUAUGACUACUGUCGUUUUUGCUGGCAUGCUUAUCGGAGCUAUUUUUUGGGGCUUCAUCAUAGACUGUUAUGGAAGAAGGCAAAAAUUUAUUCAAAAUAUACAAGCUUUUUAUCAAAGAAAUAAUAAUCUGGGAACACUCAAUUUUGAUCUAGUUUCAUUAUUUGUUAACAGGAACAGUCUUCUAAGUAUAGCAAUAGUGACUGCAGUAUGUGCAGCUCUCAGUACCUUUUCUCCAAAUUAUAAUUGGUUGCUUGCUGUGCGUAUGAUGGUUGGAUUUGGAGUUGGUGGUGGACCUGUUUAUGGAUCUUGGUUUCUUGAAUUUAUGCCUUCACAAAACAGGGGCAUGUGGAUGAUUCUCUGUACAGGUUUUUGGACAAUUGGAACAAUACUUGAGGCUUUAUUAGCACUGGGUUACUGCCUCCAUAGGAUUUUUCCAUCACUCAAGCCACUGUGACGUCAGAAAGGGAAAGGGGAAAGAAAUCAAUUUAUCAAAAGUAUUCCUUGUUCAUCUCUCCUGCAAUAAUGUCUUCCGUGUCAGUGGUAAACGAUGUCAACAUUCAUCAAUUGAUUUGCACACGAACGAUGAUCAGAGCCUUUAUACGAAUGUGCUCAUCAAUAGUCUUGCAGAGAUCCCUGGAGCUCUUUUAGCAUCUGUAAUGGUGGAGAAAAUUGGUCGGAAAUUCAGUAUGACACUUAUGUGUACUUUAAACUUCCUUUUCCUUUUAGCUCUUCUUGUUCCUCAACCGCCUGCUUUGACUACUUCCUUGUUAUUUGGUGCUCGUACUUCCAUUUCGGGAAGCUUCGUCAUUGUGAGCGUCUAUUGUCGAGAGAUAUAUCCAACGUUUGUAAGGUCAACUGGUAUUGGAGUUUCAACUUCUGUGGGAAAAAUAGGGGCCAUGCUUUCUCCUAUCGUUGUGGUGCAAUAGGUAAGAGGGUGGCCAUCAGAUUGCUGCAAUCAUAUCUUUUGAAGCAGUUGUAGUUUUAUCAGCAGCCAGUGUUGUGCUCUUCUCAGUAGAGACAAAGGGUAGGGAACUAAUUGAUACUCUUGUUGUCUAAAUGUUUGGACAAUUAUUUCAUUUUACUUGUAUUGAAGUUUUCUCUACACAUUGUAGAGGAAAAGAAGUUGAUAUCAUUUUUAGUAUGGAUGAGU